rnacentral:rRNA from 1 species
UCCGGUGGCAAUGGCAGAGAGGUCACACCCGUUUCCAUCCCGAACACGGAAGUUAAGCUCUUUAGCGCUGAUGGUACUGCAUGGGAGUCUGUGUGGGAGAGUAGGACGCUGCCGGAU